GGCAAAAACCAGUCCUGUAAACAAUACACGCCGUGUGGAUGCGUGUCAAUGUGUGGAAAGGAUUGCCCUUGUCUAACUAAUGAAACUUGCUGCGAGAAAUAUUGCGGGUGCUCAAAAAGCUGCAAGAAUCGUUUCCGAGGAUGUCAUUGUGCCAAGAGUCAAUGCAGAAGCAGGCAGUGUCCCUGCUUUGCUGCUGGCAGAGAAUGCGAUCCAGAUGUUUGCAGAAAUUGCUGGGUUAGUUGUGGAGAUGGUUCUCUUGGUGAGGCACCAAGACGCGGAGAAGGGCAAUGCGGAAA